GACGAACGCUGGGGGCGUGCUUAACACAUGCAAGUCGAACGGAAAGGCCCUGCUUUUGUGGGGUGCUCGAGUGGCGAACGGGUGAGUAACACGUGAGUAACCUGCCCUUGACUUUGGGAUAACUUCAGGAAACUGGGGCUAAUACCGGAUAGGAGCUCCUGCUGCAUGGUGGGGGUUGGAAAGUUUCGGCGGUUGGGGAUGGACUCGCGGCUUAUCAGCUUGUUGGUGGGGUAGUGGCUUACCAAGGCUUUGACGGGUAGCCGGCCUGAGAGGGUGAUCGGCCACAUUGGGACUGAGAUACGGCCCAGACUCCUACGGGAGGCAGCAGUGGGGAAUAUUGCACAAUGGGCGGAAGCCUGAUGCAGCAACGCCGCGUGCGGGAUGACGGCCUUCGGGUUGUAAACCGCUUUCGCCUGUGACGAAGCGUGAGUGACGGUAAUGUGUAAAGAAGCACCGGCUAACUACGUG
rnacentral:rRNA from 1 species